GAUGAACGCUGGCGGCGUGCCUAAUACAUGCAAGUCGAGCGAACAGACGAGGAGCUUGCUCCUCUGACGUUAGCGGCGGACGGGUGAGUAACACGUGGAUAACCUACCUAUAAGACUGGGAUAACUUCGGGAAACCGGAGCUAAUACCGGAUAAUAUAUUGAACCGCAUGGUUCAAUAGUGAAAGACGGUUUUGCUGUCACUUAUAGAUGGAUCCGCGCCGCAUUAGCUAGUUGGUAAGGUAACGGCUUACCAAGGCAACGAUGCGUAGCCGACCUGAGAGUGUGCGCGGCCACUCUAACACUGAGACGCGCUCCAGUCCCCUACGGGGCGCCACAGGAGGGACUCCUCCGCUAUGGGCGAACGCCUCGCGGCACAGCGCCGCGUGAGUUAUGAAUCUCUUCAUCUUAUAACUCUCUUUUAUUAGGGAAACACAAAUGUGUAAGUCUCUGUGCGCCUCUUCACUGCACCUAAACAGAACGCCACCUCUCUCUACG
rnacentral:rRNA from 1 species